ensembl:lncRNA
AGAAAUGUUCAUAACGUUAUCUGAAUGUGCAUUAUUUGAAUAAGGAUAACUAGAAUGACGUUGCAAUUAACCAAUUAAUUAAUGGCAACUUGUUUUUAAUCUAAUGUAUUAUUUAUUUGACUUUUAAGUUAUUAUUUUUGUAAUAAUAAUAUAAUUAAUCACAAAAAACUUUUGCUCUGAAAGUCUAGACCAAAAAUAUAUUACAUAGGCAAAUUAGAGCUUUUCUUCUCUCUCUCUCUCUCUCUCUCUCUCUCUCUCUCUCGAUAUACCAUAGGCUACCGUUUUAUGAUUCUGUCAUAUAUUUGAAAUACCCAUCCUAUUAUGCUCCAGGGAACAGUCAAUAGCAUGGAAGUCAAUGUUUGACUUUAAAACUAUAAAAAAAAAAAAAAAAAAAUGAUUGACUGAAAUCAUUUCUCAUAUGUUGUAGCUUCUGUUUAUCACCAUUUCACUCACAGUAGAGGGCGGCGUUGAGACGUGUUGAACACGUGUUUUACUGAUGGGGUAAUUUCCGAUGGAGUUUAAUAGAGAUAAUAAACAGCUGUUAACCGUAAUCACUGAUGGCUGUGAUAUACCUACUGUAAAGAACUCAGAAUGGGAAAUCUGAAGAUUUCAGAAUUGCUAUUGUUUGCAAUAGCAGCAUUGCACUGUGGGACAUCAGAAGACUUUAUUAUGGGUAACUGUAAUGAUACCAUCAGACUUCCUUGUGAAGCUACUGACCGAACCAAAAUGUACCGUUACAUCAUGUGGUAUAAAACAGAGAGUCCUAUCAUCAAGAGGAAAAACCAAGAAUAUACAUACUAUAGUAAUGUAACAUCUUUUUCUCUGGGACUUGAUGAGGCCCUGGUGUUACAUAAUGUGCAGUCUUCAGACUCUGGAGAAUAUAAAUGCUACCUGGCUGCUGAGGUUGGAGGUCGAAAUGACCAAUCAUCAAUUAGAUUAAAUAUCUCAGAAUGUUUAAAUGUGAGCACAGUUAAACCCAUCACGACCAUGAUCCCUGCUGAAUCCUGUCCUGCUGUAGCAGAAUUAACUGUUCCCUGGGCUGUCAUUGGCUUUUCUCUUAUCAGCUUGUCCAAAGUCAUCUUUUGCAUUAUAACUGUGGGGGUGUGUGAUCGAGUCAUUUUUAGAACACUAAGAAGAAAACAGGAAGUAAGGGGAAGCAAGGUCAAGCUGGAAAGCCUGAGAGUCACAAAAAACUAAUGGGAUCAUUUUAGUUUUUUCGCAUCCAUUAGCCAAGUUAAAACUCUCAUACUUUAGAAUUGUAUGUAUUUACUGUCUAUAGCAAAUGUAUGUACUUUAUGGAUCUUAAGGGUUAUAAAUACGUUCUAAACAUUGUUUAUGUAUAAUAGAUUAAGAUUUUUAUUUAUGAAUAAUGAAUAAAGACCAUAUUUUAACCUAUGGAUAAAUAUUAAACAAUCAAGAUUUUAGGUUAGUUUGAUUAUUAACUUGAUGGAUGUAUAGGCCUUUUGCUUUUAGUGUUUGAACAAGCUCUAUAUUCACUCAAUGGUUGGGAGAUAACUUGGUAGAAAUAUGUUAUGCGUGUAAUGAUGUAAGCUUAUCAUUUAUCAUUUUAAACAGUUCAUGGAGAUUAUGUAGAGGAGCAGAUUCAUUUUGGUAGCAUGGUACAUGCAUCAAGAUGGUUUCAACCAGACAGCUAUGCGCCAAAAUGCCCAUCUUUGUGAGCAUACUUGUAAACACAGUCAGAUCCUGGCAUUUAUAAGAUCUUUAAGGGAUAGUUAUAUAUUAGUAGAAGUAGUGCAUUAUAUGUUUCCCUUAGAAAGUUUGUAUAUAGUAGCUAUAACAAAUUUAGGACCUUAAUUAUGAAAACUAUCAAAAGCUUAAGUCAUUUCAUGCAUUUCACGAUCAACUUCCUGUUUGAGGCUGCCUCCUGUUUUUGUUUUUUUUGUUCACUCAUCAGGUGAAAAAAUAAAUACUGUACAGGUAUUCUGUCUCAUUUGAUUGCAUAUCCCGAUUACCCUUAAUUCACCCUUUGAAAUAUUUAAAUGCUAUGGCAUAUUUGUAUAGAUGGAUAUCUGUUUAUAUGAAAUUGUAACACUUUCCCUGUUGUGUUAAUUUCAACAUUUACUAAUACAUUUUAUGCAUAUGCACAACUUAAUUUAUUACGUAGGCUAAUAGCAAAAUGUUUAAGAAAGAAAGAAAUGCAUAAAUACUAAUGUGAAACUAGCUCUAUAAAUUUCCAUGUUCGUGUUUCCGAAACAAAAAAGCUUGUUUGAGUGCGUUUUCAUAAAAGCAUCAAAUGUUGAUAUAAUUUCUUUCCUUCAGUCCAGUUGAUUCAUCUCUCAGUAUCUAUAAAGAGCACCACUGGAGUAUCACCUUGUACAAAGAUGCUGACUGUUCAGUAUUACAAAUACACGAGCAGCUGUUAGAGUAGCUGACAGCCUGGUGAUUCACCUGUCAAUAAUCACAUUCGUUCCAGUCAAAAACAAGAGUUAUAAAUCCAAUACAUUUAGUGUAUUGGCUUGGAUAGGGGAGUGUAUUUAAGCUAACCCUUUUCACAGGUUGUAGAGGGUUCUGAUGAGCUUACUGGACUUGUUUUGGUGGAUCUGCUAAAAAAUAUUACAACCCUCUAUAAAUUUGCAAAUCAUUCCUAUGAGGUGGGAGAGGACAACUCUCUUCUGUUCCCUGGUUCUGCUGAAGUAUUUGAAGAUGCACCUUAUGGCCUCCAGAUUCAGGAAGGAGAAACUAUUCAGCAGGUGAGAACUGAUGUUAAAAUGCAAAGUGUAAUGGUGCCAGCAAAUCAUCAUUUUAAAUUCAUCAUAAUCCCAUGUGUGGUGACGGCUUGUGCUGUUGUUAUCAUGUGUCUGGAUCUCAAAAUGAUUAGGAAAACAAAAGAAAAGAUAAUAUUAAAGGGUUAGUUCAGCCAAAAAUGAAAAUGAUGUCAUUAAUGACGCACCCUAAAGUCGUUCCAAACCUGUAAAACCUCAGUUCAUCUUGGAACACAGUUUAAGAUAUUUUAGAUUUAGUCCGAGAGAUCUCAGUCCCUCCAUUGAAGCUGUGUGUACGGUAUACUGUCCAUGUCCAGAAAGGUAAGAAAAACAUCAUCAAAGUAGUCCAUGUGACAUCAGAGGGUCAGUUAGAAUUUGUUGAAACAUCGAAAAUACCCAUUGGUCCAAAAAUAACAAUAAUUGGGACUUUAUACAGCAUUGUCUUCUCUUCUGGGUCUGUUGUGAGCACGAUUGCUGUGACUGUUCACAUAUGACACUGCUGAUGUGUUCUUUGUUAUUGGGCGUGCCAGAAAAUAUGUGAGCAGUGUCAUACGUCAGCAGCGUUGUGAAUGCACUCACAACAGACCUGGAAGAGAAGACAAUGCUGAAUAAAGUCGUAAUUUUUGUUAUUUUUGGACCAAAGCGUAUUUUUGAUGCUUCAAAAAAUUCUAACUGACCCUCUGAUGUCACAUGGACUACUUUGAAGAAGUUUUUAUUACCUUUCUGGACAUGGACAGUAUACUGUACACUGUUAUAAAUGUCUGUAAAUGUAACAGUUAACUGUAAAAUGAACUGUAUUUUACUGUAGGACAGAUAUACAGCAUAUUAAUGUAUUUUAAAGUUACAUUUUGGCAAAAUCCCCUUGUAAUUUCUAUAGGAAUUUUUUUACAGUGUACAUUUUCAAUGGAGGGACAGAAAGCUCUCGGACUAAAUCUAAAAGAUCUUAAACUGUGUUCCGAAGAUGAACAGAGGUCUUACGGGGUUUGGUGAGUUAUUAAUAACAUCAUUUUCAUUUUUAGCUGAACUAACCCUUUAAGAAAAACACAAACUGAUGAAAACAUAUAAUUUAUUUUUUCCCCGUCAUAUACUGUAUAAAUUCAUUUUGGAUUACCAUAUG